UAAGGGGCUUCUAUUAAUUUGAUUGAUUUCAGGAUUCAGAGUUUUCCCAGAUUCUAAUUAUUUCUCAAAUAGCCCUGAUUCAGUAACAUGAUGACUAUCUGUAAUGUGGAUUACAGAGAUGAUACUAUGUUUUAACCUCUUUUAAAAGCUUGCUAAGAGUUCGUCAAAGUGAAUAAUUGUGAUCAUCAUAUAGACUACUUUUCACUUCCAGAGCAUGUUUUAUGUCCAUCUGAGAUAUAUAGAAAUGGGAGAGAGGUGUAGGGCAAGUGAAAUAGUUACCAUUUUACAGAUGACUGACUGCAGAACAAGCGUUAGCACCAGCGUCUUCCACAUUUGACCAGAGUGACCACAGUUGCACUACAAAAGAAAAGAGAGAAAAGAAAAAAUAUCCUAUGACUUGGCUAAGGCCAUGUAAGUUUACUUUGAUCACCUACACCAGAGUCCUUUUGCACACAGUUGAAACAUACACCUCACCUUUUCUUCUCUGAAAACCGUGUGUUCUUCCUUCCCCUGCUGUGAUCUCAGUGGAUCUAGCUCAAAUGUGUUUAAGAAAGAUUUGUGGAGCUAGUUCAUGGUUUAUUAUUUCAAAUUAGAAAGGAACAGGGAACAUCAUACAUAAUCUACACAUUUUUAUAAGGAGAAAUCUUUUUUUUUCCUGGUGAGGAAAAAUACAGAUCAUAUAAUUUUGCUUUGUUGCUCAAAAACGACGUGGAAACUCCUCAGUGGUUCAGACUGGAAGAACUAUGGGAAAUGUAGCUGUUAAUUUGGCAGGAAUUUGCCAUCAUCCUGGGUCACCUCAGUAUCCAUGAAGACAAACCAACUGCCAUGCCAGGCUCCCAGAUGCUUGACUGCCUGGCCCACAGAGCCCUCGCUUCCCCUGCACUUCAGCCACCCACUGGCAUCACCACGAUGGGCUGUGUUAGCAAACAUUGUGCAGCGCCUGUGCAGUCUCGAGCCCCGACAUCGAACUUCCUGAGUCCAGAUUGGCGACCCUCCCGUUGUCUCACUCUUCACUGGCACUGCUCUUGUUUUUGGUUCUCAAGACAGGAUGUUGUCUCUUUUACUGUGUUCCUGUCAGCCCUCUUCUGUCUUCACUUCUUUUCUCACCUCCUUACUCUCCACAGUGCAUGGGGCAUCCCUCCUCACUCCCUUCAGUCAUACUCAUUAGACCAAACCCAACUGGAAUCAGUGCAGCCAUCCACCUUCUCCCCCCACCUUGACCCACUGUGUGCUGGUGGAGACAAUCACACCUCCAGAGUUUGCUGCUUGGAGCUCACAAGGCUACUGCUAUUUCAGACACAGCUGAUGAUCUCACCUCCUGCAUUAGAGUGAGGAUGAGCCCUCUGAGAGGAACUCCUCAACUUCUAGGCUCCCACCUGAGAUUCCAUUCUGUCGCACUAGUGUGUUAAAUCCAGUUCUUACUGGCUUGCAAGAGUGGAUUGUUAAAUGUUCAGGAAUUUUAUGAGCCAGUUGUUAAACACCGUUAUUACUAAAAAUUAAAUGAAGACUGGGUGCAGUGGCUCAUGCCUCUAAUUCCAACACUUUGGAAAGCUGAGGUGGGAGGAUUGCUUGAGGCCAGAAGUUCUAGACCAGCCUGGGCAACAUAGCGAGACCUCAUCUCUACUAAAAAUAAAAAGUAGCCAGGUGUAGUGGCACACACCUGUAGUCCCAGCUACUCAGGAGGCUGAGGCAAAAGGAUUGCUUGAUCCCAAGAGUUUGAGGCUGCAGUGAGCCAU
rnacentral:lncRNA from 10 species